rnacentral:misc_RNA from 1 species
GAUGAAGAACGUAGCGAAAUGCGAUAAGUAAUGCGAAUUGCAGAAUUUCCGUGAGUCAUCGAAUCUUUGAACGCACAUUGCGCCCACUGGUAUUCCGGUGGGCAUGCCUGUUCGAGCGUCAUUAUCCUCCCUCAAACCCCGGGUUUGGUGUUGGACCCAAGUUGUGUGAACAACUGGUCUUAAAGACAAUGACGGCGUCCGUGGGACCCUCGGUGCAACGAGCUUUUAGGAGCACGCAUCGAGUUGCAAGGACCUUCCGGGCCGGUCUCAUUUACUAUUUUACAAGGUUGACCUCGGAUCAGGUAGGAAUACCCGCUGAACUUAAGCAUAUCAAUAAGCGGAGGA